rnacentral:misc_RNA from 1 species
UUGUCCCUUGCAGUCACUCAAGAAGCGCGCUAGCGCAGAGUUGGCACCUACGAGCUUCCCCAGGUGAGUGAAAGAGCGGCACACUCACUUGCCCUCUCCCCUCUUCCGCAUUCAGCGGUCGCCAUUUUUGUCUCUCGGAAUCCUGCGUAGCGAAUUUACGCUGACACGUCGCCAUGUUGGUCCGCAGUAUCACCAAAUGCGUGGUCCCGCUCAUCAAGGCGACGAGCUACACGAGCUCCUAUAUUGUGGAGCAUCCACCCACCCCUGUGAGGCUCACCUUCAUGCUGCCUCUCCACAACAAGUCCAUGCCCACACCACUUCUCGACCCCGAACGGCUGCAGGAGAUUAGCUGCGGUACCGGUCAGCCUGCUCAGCGUGGCCGCCGAAAGCCACUUGUGUGGAAGCGCCGAAAGCCGUGGUUCGACCACCAGUGGUCACUCGACCUGCAACGCAUCAAGAAGGGCCCUGAAACACCUCACUUCCCCGACGGUACUCCGUUUACGCAGAUCCGCUCUUUCCAGUCAUUUGCAGGGCGCUCCUGGAAGAUCAACGCUGGCCGCCGGCGCAAGAUUCGCCUGUCGCUGAAGCGUGGUCGCAGGAAGCUGCUGUAACCGCGGCACCGAGAGUUAGUGAGCCAGAGAUUUGUAGCAUGCUACGUGUUUCUUGCUGGGCCUUUUUUGUGUGUUAUGUGGACAGCUGGAUGCGUCUCUGUCUUGUCGCUGAAGAGGGCGACGACAGGCUGGUGCAAGAGCCCGCUUUUAUGGGGCGCGAAACCUGUGCUGUCUUUGGUGGCGCGAAACAGGCAGAAGACGUAUAGCUACAGGGUGCUACUGUCGGUUCGUUGACGGCCUUGGUGUUUGUGUGUGUUCCUGUUGCCCCACAUCUUUCUCGGUAUGGGUUUGUGCUGGGGUAGUCUCUUUGCGGUUCGAUUCUUUUUCACAUCUUUCGCGCUAGUGGUGGAGACAGGCGAACUGCAAAACCAAUAAAAUCGAAGAGACAUGCUGCCAGCCGCGCUGUAGCACAUCGCGUUGAGCUGCGCCUUCUGUUGAUGAGCUGGAGCGGCAAGGGAAGGGGAAAGGAUGUUGGAUGUGGUGCGUUCCUCCCUCCAGUCAGCACCAGAGUGCCUGAAGACAGCCUCCCACUCCUCUCUUUGUGAUGAGAAGUGCAGUUCUGAGCGUCGCCUGUCGGUUGCACAGGAGACAUAGCCCCGCAUAUUAUUUGCCCAUCCCCGUGCUCGCGUGUGUGCACUGGAAAGCCGAGGCAGGCUGGAAUACUUCGCAGCGAAUGACAGUUAUUAUUUCUCGUCGUGGCGGCAGUUGAUAAUGAAUGACCGCUAUUUUCGACACCUUCAUAUCUUUUCCAUCUUUCUCAUGAUCUUCUUGCUUUCCCUUGCCUCUUCCUCUGUUCACGGCGUCGUGUUUUUUCGUGUUCAAUGACCUCCCAUUUAAACCGUUGCAG